UACGUAGGCGGAAAAUUAAGUCAGUAGUGAAAUCCCGCAGCUUAACUGUGGAACUGUUAUUGAUACUGGUUUUCUUGAAUAUAGUUGAGGUAGGCGGAAUGUGUAAUGUAGCGGUGAAAUGCUUAGAUAUUACGCAGAACACCGAUUGCGAAGGCAGCUUACUAAGCUAUGAUUGACGCUGAGGUACGAAAGCGUGGGGAGCGAACAGGAUUGGAUACCCUGGUAGUCC
rnacentral:rRNA from 1 species